rnacentral:lncRNA from 1 species
GGCUGCUCCCCUCCUUUCCUCCCGCCACAAGCGCUCGCUGUGGUUCUGGCAGCGAAGUGCGAGACUGGGCUCGCCAGGCGGAAGUGGUUGGAGACUGCGUGUUUUCCUAGAAAGUCCUCGACCUUCGUCGGGGAGAGGAGGGGAGUGAUAAAUUGGAAGGCGGACAAGCGACAAGUGCGGUACUGGAAAGACCCAAACAUACUUGGUUGUGACCUCAGGACUCAAUAAAAUAAACAGCUGGAAAUAAGCAGACUAGUGUAAGAGUGAAUUGAAAAGAAAACCCAAGGUCACAUCUCCCAAGAAGCAGUAAUGUUCCAGCAAUAAGAAAAGGACAGUUUUUUGUCUUUUGCAUGGUGAGCCUUAUAUGAAUUACAUCAAUUUUGUCACCAAUAUCCAUCAUCAGAACAUUUUGUGGCACUGUGGCUCGAACCAAUGUCCAGCUUCCACACUAUCUGCUUGGAAGAGGAUUACCCUUAUUUGGAAGUCUCAGUUUUGAGGAUUUGGGGAAAGCAGGCACGCAAGCAGACACACCUUAUUCUCUACAGCAUCAUUUAUACCUCAACUAAGUCAGCUGAACAAAUGCCUGCUGAAAAGUUCUGGGAGUGGCAUAGCUAAGAACCAGAAAGGCGAUCUUUCUUUUGGAUUAAGUCAACAGAGUCAUACCCACAAGGAGAACUAUCAAAUAUCAGAUGCGAGAGGUGAAGUGGGGUUAUAAGAUUCUACAUAACACAUUGCAAAUGGUCACAACAAUCAAGACUAUA